rnacentral:rRNA from 1 species
AUUGAACGCUGGCGGCAUGCCUAAUACAUGCAAGUCGAGCGAGGGUCGGACGGGUGGGCAAUGUAUGGGGACCUGCCUGAUGGAGGGGGAUUACAACUGGAAACGGUAGCUAAUACCGCAUAACAUCAGAUGAACCCAGAUGGGAUUAGCUAGUAGGUGAGGUAACGGCUUACCUAGGCGACGAUCCCUAGCUGGUCUGAGAGAAUGAUCGGCCACACUGGGACUGAGACACGGCCCAAACUCCUACGGGAGGCAGCAGUAGGGAAUCUUGCACAAUGGGCGCAAGCCUGAUGCAGCCAUGCCGCGUGUGUGAAGAAGGCUUUCGGGUUGUAAAGUACUUUCAGUCGGGAAGCGGUACCCACACAGAAAGCCCCGGCUAACUACGUGCCAGCAGCCGCGGUAAUAC